rnacentral:piRNA from 1 species
UGAUGAGGAACAUGGUGUGUAAGCUGCAA